CCUACGGGUGGCAGCAGUGAGGAAUAUUGGUCAAUGGACGAGAGUCUGAACCAGCCAAGUAGCGUGAAGGAUGACUGCCCUAUGGGUUGUAAACUUCUUUUAUAGGGGAAUAAAAUGUGCCACGUGUGGGAUGUUGUAUGUACCAUAUGAAUAAGGAUCGGCUAACUCCGUGCCAGCAGCCGCGGUAAUACGGAGGAGCCGAGCGUUAUCCGGAUUGAGUGGGUUUACAGGGAGCGUAGGUGGCUUGUUAAGUCAGUGGUGAAAGUUUGCGGCUCAACCGUAAAAUUGCAGUUGAAACUGGCAGUCUUGAGUACAGUAGCGGUUGGCCGAAUUCGUGGUGUAGCGGUGAACUGCUUAGCUAUCACGAAGAACUCCGAUUUC
rnacentral:rRNA from 1 species